CAUGGCAAGGGUGAGAAAGGAGUCAAACAUCAGCCCCAAGGUCACCUCUCGUGGUUUCCUGUGGUGUCAACCCUCCACCAGAACUACUGGAAUCAAUAUUCCAAGGAAGGGAAAUUGGUAGCAGCACAAUAACUGCACUCCAGUUACUUCAUUCACCUUGCUCUGCUUGUUC